rnacentral:lncRNA from 1 species
UUACUUAAAGAUACAACUAUAGCAUACACAAGACUAAGACUACCCAACUGUAAAAAAUAUCAUAUUAAACCGAUGAUAUAGCAGUCAAUAGAACAUGAAAACAGAUAAAUUUUCAAAGCUUAAUUCCAAACAGUCUCUGAGCAUAUUUGAGUUCCGGACGGAUGGACCCUGAGUGGUCGCUUAAACUAACCUAAUCACAAACUUUUAAAUGUCAACUAUAGAAAAAAAAUUCAAAGCCAAUAAACCAUGUCAGACAGGCUAAAUAAUUCAAAAGAGAAGAGAUAUGAUAUGCUACUGUUUCAUACAGAUUCAUCAUAAGUGGAUAAAAGUUUCAGAGUCAAUAGACUAUGACUAAAGAGAGCUAGAGCCACACAAUCUUCAUGGAAAUGAGACGUACCAAUGCAUCUUCAACUGCAUACCAAAUGUCAUUAACAUACCAUUAGUAGUUCCUCAUAAAGUGACCUAAUAAAAAAUCUUUAAAAAUAGUUGAUGCUUCUGUUUAUUCUGGAAGCUGAACAUCUGCUUUUUCAGUGGAGACAAAAUCCACCCCCCCCCUCCCCAUAUGAAACUGCAAAAUUUCCAUGCCAUCAUUUUCAAAUUAUCAGGAAAGGAAAACAAGUGCUCUCAUUAAAACCAACUGAGUGUUGUCAUCAAGCUUUAUGUUGAAAUGAUAUUUUGCCUGAAUGGAUGGACGCACAGAAAAGGACAUACUACAUCAUGGAACACAUUUGUAUAUUUUCAAAAUAAAAUGGGUAAGUCUACGACUUUAACUACUGGUAAAAAAGUUUCAUGACAUGAAACACUUAAUUAAUGAUGUCAUCUAGACCAGUCAAUAUUUUCUGUUAGGGUCUUUGUGUAAAUAUUUUCUAAAUACAUGCUCAUUUACUGAAAAGUUAUAUUCUAACAGCUGAAUGCUUGUACAACCUUGAAAUUCUAAAGUUCAUGUUCUAUCUUUUUUUUAUUUAUCAAAAUAACAAAAUGAAUACACAUACCAGUAGCUAUCUCUAUAUAUUUAUAUCUAUAAAAGUUUGAAUUGUUGCAUUUUACUUUCCCAUUAUAUCAGUCAUUUAUUUCACUUAAACCUGUUUUUCUACCAAAGCACAUCAAAUCAGCAUUCUUAGCAAAAAAAACAUGCAGCAUUGUUCUUAUUAUAAAACAUACAAAUCCCAUCAGACAUCACACCAACACCAAGGAUAAACCCCACAUGAUAAAAACAUGCAUUCAGUUUG